AGCUGCAGUCGAGGAUCUUUCGCAAUGGGCGAUAAGUCCUGACGAAGCGACGCUGUGUGAAUGAUGAAGGCCUUCGGGUUGUAAAGUUCUUUCGCUUAGGAACAAGAGAGAUUGGUGAAUAACCAGGUUAAUUUGAGCGUAUCUAUGUAAAGAAGCACCGGCUAACUCC
rnacentral:rRNA from 1 species